rnacentral:lncRNA from 1 species
AUGUGUCUGUUGCUUAAUUAUCCAUUGGCGCAUUUACAUGUGGCCAUGAAGAGGGCCACGGAUGACUGUGUAAAAAUGAUCAAUCAUUACUUCUUACAGUCCAGAGGAGGUGCCAAGAAAACAAGAAAAAAAAAAGAAACCAAAAAACCCACAACCCUACCCUUUCACACUGCUAUCUAUGUGGGAGACCUGAAAACUGAGAAACAAACGUCACCCCAAACAAUGAGUUGGAAAAUGAACUCAAAUUUAUCCUACGAAGCAGGUGACCAAACCCACCUCUUGGCUCAGUUACAUCCAGCUGUUUAUUGCCUAAGCAUUCUGGGGCUUGCUUCAUCACUUGGCUUUGCUGUGGAGCACUCCUGUAGAGCUUACUGAAUUGCAUAUUGAAGAUCCACCCAUUUGUUCUACUCGGAUAGUCAAGCCCAUCUGAACCCAAGUAUUGCCACGGUGACACUGUGCCCAGUGAUGGAAUUCUGAAUUAUACGAAAGGUUGGUGCUGCUCUGUCCAUCUAUUUCUGCAGAGGGAAGAUAGACAAGGGAAGGCUUUCUCUCUGCAAAUACUCAUGGUGUGACCCAUUUGAGAUACAAAAAGUCUCAAGAGGUUAUAAUUCAGAAAGCUGGAUGAAAUGUACAAGAUUGGGAGGGAGAAGGCCAGCGCAGACUGACGGCAUUCUCUUGAUGGGCAGGCGCCGUGUCUCAGGAAAGAAAGGAAAGCAGGAAGUGCUAUUUUGGCACCUUCUCUGUGCCACACUCUUGUGCAGGUUUUAAAUCUUUUCUACAAUAUCAGUGAAGAGUUAACACCUUAGUUUUGCAGGUG